rnacentral:rRNA from 1 species
UACGGGAGGCAGCAGUGGGGAAUAUUGCACAAUGGGCGCAAGCCUGAUGCAGCCAUGCCGCGUGUAUGAAAAAGGCCUUCGGGUUGUAAAGUACUUUCAGUCGUGAGGAAGGUGUUAAGGUUAAUAACCUUAGCAAUUGACGUUAGCGACAGAAGAAGCACCGGCUAACUCCGUGCCAGCAGCCGCGGUAAUACGGAGGGUGCGAGCGUUAAUCGGAAUUACUGGGCGUAAAGGGCACGCAGGCGGUUAAUUAAGUUGGAUGUGAAAUCCCCGGGCUUAACCUGGGAAUGGCAUUCAAGACUGGUUAGCUAGAGUCUUGUAGAGGGGGUAGAAUUCCAUAUGUAGCGGUGAAAUGCGUAGAGAUGUGGAGGAAUACCGGUGGCGAAGGCGGCCCCUGGACAAAGACUGACGCUCAUGUGCGAAAGCGUGGGGAGCAAACAGGGAUUAGAUACC